AUUAAGAAGCUAUGAAUCAGCAUUAGCCUUUUAAGCUAAAGAAAGAGGGAUCCUCCCCUCCUUAAUGGUA
rnacentral:tRNA from 1 species